GCCCCUAAGACGAGGCGGAAACGCGUAGUUGAUGGGAAACGGGUUAAUAUUCCCGUACCUUCGCGCAAUGCGAUGGGGAGACGGAGAAGGUUACACAUACCGCAUAUUGGCUUGUCCAGUAAUGGACGCGGAUCAAGCGUGUAGACGUGCCGCCCAGGCAAAUCCGGGUGGCUUAGUCAAGGCGUGAUGACGAGCGGGCUUUGCCCGCGAAGUUGUGAAUACCAUGCUUCCAGGAAAAUCCUCUAAGCUUCAGUUGCGUGAAGACCGUACCGUAAUCGGACACACGUAGGCGGGAUGAAUAUUCUCAGGCGCUUGAGAGAACUCAGGAGAAGGAACUCGGCAAAUUAAUACCGUAACUUCGGGAUAAGGUAUGCCCCUAGUAGGUGAACGUGUACAACGGGAGCCAAAUGGGGUUGCAAGAAAUCGGUGGCUGCGACUGUUUAACAAAAACACAGCACUCUGCAAACACGUCAAGUGGACGUAUAGGGUGUGACGCCUGCCCGGUGCCGGAAGGUUAAGUGAUGGGGUGCAAGCUCUUGAUCGAAGCCCCGGUAAACGGCGGCCGUAACAAUAACGGUCCUAAGGUAGCGAAAUUCCUUGUCGGGUAAGUUCCGACCUGCACGAAUGGCGUAACGAUGGCCACACUGUCUCCUCCUGAGACUCAGCGAAAUUGAAGUGUUUGUGAUGAUGCAAUCUCCCCGCCGCAAGACGGAAAGACCCCGUGCACCUUUACUGCACCUUUGCAUUGGACUUUGAUGAUCUCUGUGUAGGAUAGCUGGGAGGCUUUGAAGUGGUGGCGCUAGCCAUCAUGGAGCCGACGUUGAAAUACCAGCCUGAUAUUAUUGAGGUUCUAACCUUGACCCGUGAAUCCGGGUCGGGGACCGUGCAUGGCAGGCAGUUUGACUGGGGCGGUCUCCUCCCAAAGAGUAACGGAGGAGUGCGACGGUACGCUUAGCGCGGUCGGCUAUCGCGCUGUAUGUGCAAUGGCAUAAGCGUGCUUAACUGCGAGACUGGCAAGUCGAGCAGGUGCGAAAGCAGGUCAUAGUGAUCCGGUGGUUCUGUAUGGAAGGGCCAUCGCUCAACGGAUAAAAGGUACGCCGGGGAUAACAGGCUGAUUCCUCCCAAGAGUUCAUAUCGACGGGGGAGUUUGGCACCUCGAUGUCGGCUCAUCACAUCCUGGGGCUGUAGCCGGUCCCAAGGGUAUGGCUGUUCGCCAUUUAAAGUGGUACGUGAGCUGGGUUCAAAACGUCGUGAGACAGUUUGGUCCCUAUCUGCGGUGGGCGCUGGAAGUUUGAGGGGGGCUGCUCCUAGUACGAGAGGACCGGAGUGGACGAACCUCUGGUGUACCGGUUGUCACGCCAGUGGCAUCGCCGGGUAGCUAAGUCCGCAAGAGAUAACCGCUGAAAGCAUCUAAGCGGGAAACUUGCCUCAAGAUGAGACUUCCCAGGGACUUGAUCCCUCUAAAGGGUCGUGGAAGACCACCACGUUGAUAGGCCAGGUGUGUACAAGGAGUAAUCCUUUUAGCUAACUGGUACUAAUUGCCCGUGCGGCUUGAUC
rnacentral:rRNA from 1 species